AGAGUUUGAUCCUGGCUCAGAUUGAACGCUGGCGGCAUGCCUUACACAUGCAAGUCGAACGGCAGCACGAGAGCUUGCUCUUGGUGGCGAGUGGCGAACGGGUGAGUAAUAUAUCGGAACGUACCCUAGAGUGGGGGAUAACGUAGCGAAAGUUACGCUAAUACCGCAUACGAUCUACGGAUGAAAGUGGGGGAUCGCAAGACCUCAUGCUCAUGGAGCGGCCGAUAUCUGAUUAGCUAGUUGGUGGGGUAAAAGCUCACCAAGGCGACGAUCAGUAGCUGGUCUGAGAGGACGACCAGCCACACUGGAACUGAGACACGGUCCAGACUCCUACGGGAGGCAGCAGUGGGGAAUUUUGGACAAUGGGCGCAAGCCUGAUCCAGCAAUGCCGCGUGAGUGAAGAAGGCCUUCGGGUUGUAAAGCUCUUUUGUCAGGGAAGAAACGGUUGACUCUAAUACAGAUCACUAAUGACGGUACCUGAAGAAUAAGCACCGGCUAAUUACGUGCCAGCAGCCGCGGUAAUACGUAGGGUGCAAGCGUUAAUCGGAAUUACUGGGCGUAAAGCGUGCGCAGGCGGUUGUGCAAGACAGAUGUGAAAUCCCCGGGCUCAACCUGGGAAUUGCAUUUGUGACUGCACGGCUAGAGUGUGUCAGAGGGGGGUAGAAUUCCACGUGUAGCAGUGAAAUGCGUAGAGAUGUGGAGGAAUACCGAUGGCGAAGGCAGCCCCCUGGGAUAACACUGACGCUCAUGCACGAAAGCGUGGGGAGCAAACAGGAUUAGAUACCCUGGUAGUCCACGCCCUAAACGAUGUCUACUAGUUGUCGGGUCUUAAUUGACUUGGUAACGCAGCUAACGCGUGAAGUAGACCGCCUGGGGAGUACGGUCGCAAGAUUAAAACUCAAAGGAAUUGACGGGGACCCGCACAAGCGGUGGAUGAUGUGGAUUAAUUCGAUGCAACGCGAAAAACCUUACCUACCCUUGACAUGUCUGGAAUCCUUGAGAGAUCAGGGAGUGCUCGAAAGAGAAUCAGAACACAGGUGCUGCAUGGCUGUCGUCAGCUCGUGUCGUGAGAUGUUGGGUUAAGUCCCGCAACGAGCGCAACCCUUGUCAUUAGUUGCUACGAAAGGGCACUCUAAUGAGACUGCCGGUGACAAACCGGAGGAAGGUGGGGAUGACGUCAAGUCCUUAUGGCCCUUAUGGGUAGGGCUUCACACGUCAUACAAUGGUACAUACAGAGGGCCGCCAACCCGCGAGGGGGAGCUAAUCCCAGAAAGUGUAUCGUAGUCCGGAUUGUAGUCUGCAACUCGACUACAUGAAGUUGGAAUCGCUAGUAAUCGCGGAUCAGCAUGUCGCGGUGAAUACGUUCCCGGGUCUUGUACACACCGCCCGUCACGCCAUGGGAGCGGGUUUCACCAGAAGUGGGUAGCCUAACCGCAAGGAGGGCGCUCACCACGGUGGGAUUCGUGACUGGGGUGAAGUCGUAACAAGGUA
rnacentral:rRNA from 1 species